AAGCGAGAAAUUGUGAGGGCGGACGUAAGUCGAUGCUAUACACCCCAGUGCUUAACUGUUACUUAUUUCAUCGAUCCCGGAAGAUGAAAGGGACAUCAACACACCAACACAUGUCGUCAAGUAGUGAUGGAGGAUACAUACAGACGCAGUAACAAACAGAAAUAUAUGCUGAAAUAUACCACGCUUUGGGUAAAGUAAAAUACAAGAAGAUCAGUUCAUUAUGAUUUUAUUCAACAUAUUCCUCUUUCAGAUUCACGUACUUAUUGCAGCGGUCCUUCAGAUUUUCUAAGGCCUUCACAGGAACGCGGAAGUAUGGGCCUCAAACCAGACCUUUCCGGCAUCCUUACAGUCAGGAACUUUUCAGUAACACCUUCCUUGCAGUUAGCAUGUCAAGACGUAUUCUUGAAGAUAAACCGCUGAUUAAUGAAACCAUAGAAAAAUCAGACAAAAAUAUAUAUUAUGUUUUCGACAGAUAUUUCUAGAAGAUAUUUCAUAAAAUUUGAU